rnacentral:tRNA from 1 species
GAGAUGGCUCAGUGGUUAAGAGCANUGACUGCUCUUCCAGAGGACCCUGGUUCAAUUCCUGGCAUCUCA